AGAGGGACACACCUGUACCCAUGCCGAACACAGAAGUUAAGCCUCUUAACGCCGAUGGUACUUGGUUGGUAACGACCUGGGAGAGUAGGAAAUUGCCGGUC
rnacentral:rRNA from 1 species